UAAGGAAUAUUGCGCAAUGGACGAAAGUCUGACGCAGCAACGCCGCGUGAAGGAUGAAGGCCCUUUGGGUCGUAAACUUCUGUAGCAGGGGAAUAAGAGCCCUCUUGGAGGGUGUGAAGGUACCCUGAAAGUAAGCCACGGCUAACUACGUGCCAGCAGCCGCGGUAAUACGUAGGUGGCAAGCGUUGUCCGGAUUCACUGGGUGUAAAGGGUGCGCAGGCGGAUUUGUAAGUCAGAGGUGAAAUCUCACGGCUUAACCGUGAAACUGCCUUUGAUACUGCGGAUCUUGAGUUAGAGAGAGGUUGAUGGAAUUCCAGGUGUAGCGGUGAAAUGCGUAGAUAUCUGGAAGAACACCAGUGGCGAAGGCGGUCAACUGGCUCUUAACUGACGCUCAUGCACGAAAGCGUGGGUAGCGAACAG
rnacentral:rRNA from 1 species